rnacentral:rRNA from 1 species
UACGUAGGGCGCGAGCGUUGUCCGGAAUUAUUGGGCGUAAAGAGCUCGUAGGCGGCUUGUCGCGUCGGAUGUGAAAGCCCGGGGCUUAACUCCGGGUCUGCAUUCGAUACGGGCAGGCUAGAGUUCGGUAGGGGAGAUCGGAAUUCCUGGUGUAGCGGUGAAAUGCGCAGAUAUCGGGAGGAACACCGGUGGCGAAGGCGGUUCUCUGGGCCUGACCUGACGCUGAGGAGCGAAAGCGUGGGGAGCGAACAGG